rnacentral:rRNA from 1 species
CCUACGGGAGGCAGCCGUGAGGAAUAUUGGUCAAUGGACGAGAGUCUGAACCAGCCAAGUAGCGUGAAGGAUGACUGCACUAUGGGUUGUAAACUUCUUUUAUCUGGGAAUAAAAUGUUCCACGUGUGGGAUUUUGUAUGUACCUUAUGAAUAAGGAUCGGCUAACUCCGUGCCAGCAGCCGCGGUAAUACGGAGGAUUCGAGCGUUAUCCGGAUUUAUUGGGUUUAAAGGGAGCGUAGGUGGGUUGUUAAGUCAGUUGUGAAAGGUUGCGGCUCAACCGUAAAGUUGCAGUUGAAACGGGCAGUCUUGAGUACAGUAGAGGUGGGCGGAAUUCGUGGUGUAGCGGUGAAAUGCUUAGAUAUCACGAAGAACUCCGAUUGCGAAGGCAGUUCACUGGACUGCAACUGACACUGAGGCUCGAAAGUGUGGGUAUCAAACAGGAUUAGAUACCCCAGUAGUC